GACGAACGCUGGCGGCGUGCUUAACACAUGCAAGUCGAACGGAAAGGCCCUGCUUUUGUGGGGUGCUCGAGUGGCGAACGGGUGUGUAACACGUGAGUAACCUGCCCUUGACUUUGUGAUAACUUCAGGAAACUGGGGCUAAUACCGGAUAGGAGCUCCUGCUGCAUGGUGGGGGUUGGUAAGUUUCGGCGGUUGGGGAUGGACUCGCGGCUUAUCAGCUUGUUGGUGGGGUAGUGGCUUACCAAGGCUUUGACGGGUAGCCGGCCUGAGAGGGUGACCGGCCACAUUGGGACUGAGAUACGGCCCAGACUCCUACGGGAGGCAGCAGUGGGGAAUAUGGCACAAUGGGCGGAAGCCUGAGGCAGCAACGCCGCGUGCGGGAUGACGGCCUUCGGGUUGUAAACCGCUUUCGCCUGUGACGAAGCGUGAGUGACGGUAAUGGGUAAAGAAGCACCGGCUAACUACGUG
rnacentral:rRNA from 1 species